rnacentral:rRNA from 1 species
GAUGAACGCUGGCGGCGUGCCUAAUACAUGCAAGUCGAGCGAACAGACGAGGAGCUUGUUCCUCUGUCGUUAGCGGCGGACGGGUGAGUAACACGUGGAUAACCCACCUAUAAGACUGGGAUCACUUCGGGAAACCGGAGCUAAUCGCGGAUAAUAUAUUGAACCGCAUGGUUGAAUAGAGAAAUUCGGCUUUGCUGUCACUUAUAGAUGGAUCUGCGCCGCAUUAGCUGGUUGGUAAGGUAAAGGCUUACGAAGGCAACGAGGCGUAGCCGACGUGUGGGGGGGGUCGCCGGCACUGGAGCUGAGACGCGGUCCAGGCUCCUACGGGAGGCAGCAGUAGGGAAUCGGCCGCAGAAGUCGGAAGCCUGACGGAGCGGCGCCGCGUGAGUGGUGAAGGUCUUCGGAUCGUGAAGCCCUGUUAUGGGUGGAAAACAGAUUUGUAAUUAACUGUGCACUUCUUGACGGUACCUGGUCAGGAAGCCACGGCUAACUACGUG